AGCUCCUAGAAAGGUUGCUACUCCAGAGUUGUUGAAAUUUAUGGGAGAGCUCCGAAAGGUUGUUACAGUUGGUGUUGUGGGAGGAUCUGACCUUUCAAAGAUCUCAGAACAGCUUGGGAACUCGGUUAUUCAUGACUAUGAUUAUGUGUUCUCUGAGAAUGGACUUGUGGCACAUAAAGAUGGGAAGCUCAUUGGCACCCAGAGCUUGAAAUUG
rnacentral:misc_RNA from 1 species